UACAGAGGUGGCAAGCGUUGUUCGGAAUUACUGGGCGUAAAGGGCGCGUAGGCGGCCAUCUAAGUCAGACGUGAAAUCCCCGGGCUCAACCUGGGAACUGCAUUUGUGACUGCAUCGCUGGAGUGCGGCAGAGGGGGAUGGAAUUCCGCGUGUAGCAGUGAAAUGCGUAGAUAUGCGGAGGAACACCGAUGGCGAAGGCAAUCCCCUGGGCCUGCACUGACGCUCAUGCACGAAAGCGUGGGGAGCAAACAGG
rnacentral:rRNA from 1 species